rnacentral:rRNA from 1 species
AACUAUAUAAUUCCAUGGAGAUGCUUAAUGCAGAGAAGUGGAAGAAAGUAGGAAUGGCCUGACGUUUUAGUCGGGUUUGGCCGAUCUCUGGAGUCCAUGAAAAGAGGAUAGAAAUGAAUUCCUUAUGUUCGUACCGAGAUCCGACACAGGUGCCCCUUGGUGAGAAGCCUAAGGCGUGUUGGGAUACUCCAGUUAAGGGAACUCGGCAAAAUAGCUCCGUAACUUUGGGAUUAGGAGUGCGGACUGUCUUCAUUGGACGGUACGUCUCAGUAACGUGAGGGCUUCGACUGUUUAAUAAAAACACAGCUAGCUGCUAUCCUGUAAAGGUUUGUACAGCUGGUGACAUCUGCUCAGUGCCGGCACGUUAAGCCCGGUUUCAACCGGGGGAAGCGCCGGUAAACGGCGGGAGUAACAAUAACUCUCUUAAGGUAGCGUAAUACCUUGCUGCUUAAUUGGCGGCUUGCAUGAAUGGUGUAACGAGAGCCCUACUGUCCCUAACUGGAACCUAGUGAAACCACUUCCUGGUGGAUAUGCCAGGGUCCCCCGAUGGGAAGCGAAGACCCCAUGGAGUUUUACUACAGCCUGUCGUUGUCGCUUGGAUUUUGAUGUAGAGCGUAGUUGGUAGCCAUCGAAGCAAUCUCGUCAGGGAUUGUGGAGGCGAAUAUGGAACACCAACCUUCUAGGUCUAAGCGACUAACCAACAUUGUUAUUGUUGGGACACCGGUAGGUAGGUAGUUUGGCUGGGGCGGUACGCCUCGAGAAGACAUCGAGGGCGCCCUAUGGUUGACUCAGGUGGGUCAGGAAUCUACCGUAGAGGGCAAGGCCAAAAGUCAGCCUGACUGGAUAUUGCACCACAAGAUAUCCAGAGGCGAAAGCCGGGCCUAGCGAACUCCAAUGCCUCCUUGAUGGGGGCUUGGACUAACAGAAAAACUACCCUGGGAUAACUGAGUCGUCCGGGGCAAGAGCCCACAUCGACCCCCGGGCUUGCUACCUCGCUGUCGGUUCUUUCCAUCCUGGGUCUGCAGCAGGACCCAAGGGUGGGGUUGUUCGCCCAUUAAAGGAGAACGUGAGCUGGGUUUAGACCGUCGUGAGACAGGUUAGUUGCUAUCUAUCGGGGGUGUUGGUCGUCUGAAGGGAAGGUAGUCCCAGUACGAGAGGAACAGACUGCCGUGGCCUCUGGUGUACCAGUUGUCUGAUAAGGCAUCGCUGGGUAGCUACGCCAUAGUUAAUAAGGGCUGAAAGCAUCUAAGCCCGAAAUAACCCCUGAAAAUAGACUACCACUG